UUUUCUUCAUUUUGUUUUCCUUGUUUUCUUUUCCUUUCCUUUCUUUUCUUACUCCUUUCUUCUCCAAACUUCUUGGGCAUCAAACCUGCAGCUUGUAACCCCAAUUUCCAGCACUUCUAAACCCUAGGAGAGAAAGAAGAAAUCUAUCUUUCUUUCCUUUAUUUUCUAUUUCUACUCCACUUUCAACCAUACUUGGAUUUUUGGCUUCAAAUCUUCAUUUUUAAGGCUAAAAGGUUUUUGUUGAUUUUCAUGCCUUUAAGCUCACCAAGUGUGGGAGGGCACAUAUCGGUAAUGACGAUGAUUCCAGCUAUGUGCGAAUGUGGGGGUGCACAUGAGCUGAGGACUAGUGGGGGAUUCUUGCUAUGUGCAGAUGUGGGGGUGCACAUGAGCUGAUGACUAGUGCUGGUCUAUAUCCAGUUAUGUGCGGUGGGGGAGGGCACAUGAGCUAAGGACCGUUGGGUGUAUACAUGUUUGUAUAUAUGUAUAUAUGCCUUAGAGAUGAUCAUUUAUGUUAUGAAAUUAUUUGCAUAUGUUAUGAAAAGGUUGUGAAAAUAAUAUGUGAUUACACUGAAUAUUGAGGAAACUUGAGCAUUGUCAAUGCGUUCAAUUUAAUGUACAAUGUGGCAUGAGUGGAUUUUCCUUGUGGUAAUGAAAACCCUUUAGAUUUUAUCUGACCAGAAUUUCG